GAGAGGCUAGAGCAUUCCCUUGAAUGCGAGCCACUAUGUAGGUGGAAUUUGAUAAGCCCCUUUAGGCCAUUUCGAAUUUAUUGGAAGAAGAAUAGGUGUAGCGAGAAAAAAGUUUUUAACUAAAAAAAUUGUGAAGUGGGUUAGAUAGCAAACAAUUUUUACAUGUAUUUAUAAUAUAUAAUAAUUUAUUUCUUUUUAGUAAGAUUAAGAAUUUAUAAAGUUUUUUUAUUUAACAUUUUGAAUAUAGAAAAUAGUGUUGACAUGAACAUGAUUUCCAACAUUCACACAUUCAAACAUCGGUGAUCUUUAGUUCAAAUUAAGCUCGGUAUUUCAAGAUUGCGAGAGUAUCCGACCACCAUCAUCUUUUCUACAUGCCAAUCUAAUACAUAAUAUUGAAAGAUUGAUGUAUCCAAAAAAUGAACUCAUUAAAGGGUGUAUCUUACUAUGUGAUCUAAUACAUAAUACUGAACAAAUUUAUUUUUUAAUAGGUAGCAAAAAUUAUGUAUGUCUAAAUAGUGUGACCAAAUGAUUAUGCAAAGGGAUCCGUUUAUGGCAUGAGAAACAAAACAAGUGUCACUAUUGGAUCAAAAUAUCUAAGCUAAGAGAUAAAAGGAGCACUAGUAAAUUUGCAGCUAGCAGCAUCCAGUGAGAAAAAGGACACUUAACGGGAAAUUUCAGGUUUUGA
rnacentral:lncRNA from 1 species